CAAUCUGCCUUGGAGUGGGGAAUAACGGCUGGAAACAGCCGCUAAUACCGCAUGACGCGUCUGGGAGGCAUCUCUCUGGACGCCAAAGAUUUAUCGCUCUGAGAUGAGCUCGCGUCUGAUUGGCUGGUUGGCGGGGUAACGGCCCACCAAGGCGACGAUCAGUAGCCGGACUGAGAGGUUGGCCGGCCACAUUGGGACUGAGACACGGCCCAGACUCCUACGGGAGGCAGCAG
rnacentral:rRNA from 1 species